UUUGGUAUCAAAAGAGAUUGAUAAUCUCUUGGGUAAGUUCACAAUGUUUCUGUUCAUACUUUGAAUUGCUGGAAACAUCAGCCUAUAUUAUUUUCCUUUUUAGAAUAAUAAUUUCGCCCUAGUUGGAAUCAAGAAUGUACUUUUCUACUACUUCAUCUAAUUGUAUGUUAUAAAUAUGUGUUGUUGUCCCAUUUGGAAGUCUAAGGUGGGUAUGAAAUAUUUACUUUAUAUAGUUUAGUUUUUGGAUUAUUUUUUAUUUUUGUACAAAGUCCUGCUAAAUUGUUUAACAGUUGUAUCAAUUAUAACAAGUCACACUCUCAUGUCUUAUACUCCAGAAAUACAGAAACAAAGAAAUUUCACGAUCGAACUACCAAAAGAAAAUAAAAAGGACUAUUUCGACUUUAGUACAUCAUUGGAAACAACGUCUCUAUCUCUCAAGGUAAGAGUAAAACUAAGUAUAUUAUUGUUGUAGACUUUAAGUAUAUCGUUCAAAUAUUCUUUGAUUGUCUUUUAUCCUGAGGAUUUGUGAAUAGUACUAUCGUUCUAAAAGGUAAGGAAUUUCUUUCUAAUAAUAAGAACUCUCCUUAAAGUUGUAACUCUCACCAAAUUCUUUUCAUAUUAAUCAAUGAAUUAUGUUAUUUUAAUUUUUUGGAGAGAUUGCAGAAGAGGCCAGACACAUGGAAUAUGAUAAAUAGAACGUCAAGACAUUUACAAAUUUGUCAGCUCUUCUUUUAUUCUUGCCCCGAUUUUGUUAUUGAAAGUUAAUUUAUAUUUGUUGUAUUCAGUGCUGAUAUCAUCCUAUGGGAAGCAUCUCUGAAAGGUUGCAAGUGAGUCAAAUAGAGAAAGAGGAUAACAUGCAAUCUAUUACCUCUAGGGUUGAUCAGGAC
rnacentral:lncRNA from 1 species